GAGCGCGUGUAGCAUUACACGACUCGGCAGACGGGAGAGUAUCACGUGGGAACGUACCCUUCGGUUCGGAAUACCCAGGGAAACUUGGACUAAUACCGGAUACGUCCGAAAUGAGAAAGAUUAUCGCCGAAGGAUCGGCCCGCGGCUGAUUAGCUAGUUGGUGAGGUAACGGCUCACCAAUGCGACGAUCGGUAUCUGGUCUGAUAGGAUGAUCAGCCUCUCUGGGACUGAGACACGGCCCAGACUCCUACGGGAGGCAUCAGUGGGGAAUAUUGGACAAUGGGCGCAAGCCUGAUCCAGCCAUGCCGCGUGGGUGAUGAAGGCCCUAGGGUUGUAAAGCCCUUUCGGCGGGGAAGAUAAUGACUGUACCCGCAUAAGAAGCCCCGGCUAACUUCGUGCCAGCAGCCGCGGUAAU
rnacentral:rRNA from 1 species